CGACCGGCGCACGGGUGCGUAACGCGUAUGCAACCUACCCAUAACAGGGGGAGUAACACUGAGAAAUUGGUACUAAUACCCCAUAACAUCAGGACCGGCAUCGGUUCUGGUUGAAAACUCCGGUGGUUAUGGAUGGGCAUGCGUUGUAUUAGCUGGUUGGUGAGGUAACGGCUCACCAAGGCAACGAUACAUAGGGGGACUGAGAGGUUAACCCCCCACAUUGGUACUGAGACACGGACCAA
rnacentral:rRNA from 1 species